AAAAAUUCAGAUUCCUGGCGACUAGUUCAGUCCCACGUUAUUGGAAUAAAUUUGAGAGCGGGGCCCAGGUAUCUGCAUUUUAAAUGCACCCAGGUGAUUCUUUGGCCCGCUGAAAUUGUAUAGCCAUUACCUCUUAGACCAAUAAGUUGGAUGAUCUAGUAUGUAAUCAGCACUCAGAUUCUAUCCAUAGAUGGAAGUUUAGGACAGAAUAGAGAAUUGAUUAUAUUUACCUUGAGAUACAGAAAGCUGGUAGAGUGACUCUUUCUGAGGUUUUCUUAAAUUCAUCUGUGAUCUUUACUAUAACAUACAGUAAAAUUUUGGUUAAAAUAUACAUAUAUACAGGAUUAGUGUUCUUUGUAAUAAAUUGGUAAAGUUGAUUGUAUAUUCUAGAUAAGUGCAUGCACUUAGAAAAAUGGUAAAAUGAAUGUCUUCUGUUAAGUUGUGUAAUAAAAUUAGAUACAGUUUUCAGACUAAA